rnacentral:rRNA from 1 species
GUCUUUCCAUCCUCAUUCUGCUUCAUAUAGAAUGCUUUGAUUUCUUUCGGAUAGUCUGUCAGGAUUACAGGACUGGGUGUUCCGCAUUACAUUCACACGAGUCCAAUGCCAACCUUCUCCAUACUUCACCCUUAAUUCCCGCCGAAUACUAUCACACUGUCCUUUUUUUACCUGUUCAAAGAAAUUAAACAUAACCUUCCGGUCUUCAGGAUGGAUCUGGCUAUAAACACCUAUGACUUCCGAUAGCGGCACACCUUCUUUUUCUCCUAAAUUCUGAUACCAUUGGUCGAUAGCAUACCCUUCACGAGUCAACAAAUCAAAUUUGGCAUAUCCAACUUUUGCAAAACGGCUGACCAGGCUGAAGAAAUGUUCAAACUCCUCGAUACGGUUAUAUGCGACCGCCUUAUCUGUAUUAUCAAGAUUAAUAAACAUAUAAUUAAUCAGAUCUCCAUAUAUGUCAUACAACAUGCAGACUUUUGUGAAAAUAUCGAUCGUACCAUUCUUCAUUGUCGGAUAGAACCCUUUGUCCUCAAUUGUGUUAAAUGAAUAAUCCAUGUGAAAAGAGACUGGCUCCCGACUAAUCAGUUUUUCUCGUAUUUCAUCAUUAAUCAUAGGAUUUUCAAAGAUAUUAAGCCCCAAAACAGACUCUUUGGAAGGAAGGCCGAAUAUCUCGACAUCCAUAUUAUUCAAAUCCACCAGAUAGCCCUUCUUAUCAUACAACUCUAUUCCGACCGGUAUGUUGGUAUAAAUAUUCCGAAGUAACUUUUCACUAUGGUCCAAAGCUUCAUUGGUACGGGCCAUCUUCGUUAUUAUACUAAUGAUAUUGGAAAUAGACGACAACCAUUGAUAGUCCUCCAAGCUCCACAUACGAUACUUAUCUACUAUAUCGAUUCCCAUAUACCCCCAAGACUCACCUUUGAUUAUUAAUGGAAUUAAAAUCAGAGAACAGGUUCGACGCGCUUUCAGGUAGCGCUUCUCCUCAACCGCUUCAGGAGGUAAUUCAUCCAGAUUAUUAAUUAGGAUAGGAUAUAAAUUCCGUAUUUUAUGUGUAGACCAAGGUAACGUAGCAACCGGAAUGUUUUGCAAAAACGGACGGACAGGCUCAACUCCCUCACUACACACCUCAUAUGUGCAGCCAAUCUGCUUCUCAUCCUCAUAUUCCAUAAUGUAUACACGCCCCUUCGUAUCGAUCGAAAAUAGAACCUCCGUAAGAGCCAAAUGGAUCGAUUUAUGCAAAUCAUUUGUCUGGAUAAAAGAAUGUAAGGCAUGGGACAAACUCCCCAAAUGCCUGAGAACACUAUCAACCUGUCCAUUCACGACAGGUCUAUUCUCCUCCAUUUCACUAAAAGGAAUCAACUGUAAAAUACCCAAUACGGUCAACUUGCCAUCGGAAGCCUUUUCACGUUUAUAAAUUUUUGUACGGACGAACCUAUAACCAUAGCAAGUCUUUAUAGGGAAGAUCUGUUCGUAUAUACCAAUACCUUUAAAGAAAGCAAAUUCGUUAGCGAUACGAUCCCGAUAGUCUCCACGGAUCAACAAAAAGAAAUCUACUAUGGAUAUUUUCGGACCAUCCAACUCCAAGAGACUAAUCAAAUAGUCAGAACAGAUAUAACAUCUUUCUUCAAAAUCAGCUUUCCACCAGCCAACCUGAGCAUUGUCUAAUAUUAAUUGAUACUGGGAUUCGGUAUUGCAUGUACAGGAUAGGUGGGAGGCUAGGAAAUGGUAACGCCAGUUGCCAUGGAGCCAAUGUUGGGAUACCACCCUUGCAGUACUGGGUUUCUAACCAGCAGCCGUGAUCCGGCUGGGGGACAAUGUCAGGUGGGGAGUUUGACUGGGGCGGUCGCCUCCGAAAGGGUAUCGGAGGCGCUCAAAGGUUCCCUCAGAAUGGUUGGAAACCAUUCGAAGAGUGCAAAGGCAGAAGGGAGCUUGACUGCGACACCGACGGGUGGAGCAGGUACGAAAGUAGGACUUAGUGAUCCGGUGGUAUAAAGUGGGAUUGCCAUCGCUCAACGGAUAAAAGCUACCCUGGGGAUAACAGGCUUAUCACUCCCAAGAGUUCACAUCGACGGAGUGGUUUGGCACCUCGAUGUCGGCUCAUCGCAUCCUGGGGCUGUAGCAGGUCCCAAGGGUUGGGCUGUUCGCCCAUUAAAGCGGUACGCGAGCUGGGUUCAGAACGUCGUGAGACAGUUCGGUCCCUAUCCGGCGCGGGCGGAGGAUAUUUGAGAGGAGCUGUCCUUAGUACGAGAGGACCGGGAUGGACGGACCACUGGUGUAUCUGUUGUCGACCAACGGCAUGGCAGAGUAGCCAAGUCUGGAAGGGAUAAACGCUGAAGGCAUCUAAGCGUGAAGCCCCCCUCAAGAUGAGAUAUCCCUCCUUCGGGAGUAAGACCCCUUGAAGACUACAAGGUAGAUAGGGCAGAGGUGGAAGCAUGGCAACAUGUGGAGCUGACUGUUACUAAUAGGUCGAGGGCUUAAUCU